CUGUCGCGCCUAAAUUACGGAGCCAUCUGCCUGAUUACCAAGGUUAAAGGGGCAGAAUCUAUCAAGCAGUUUCGGCCGAUCACGCUCAUAAACGUUCCUUUUAAGACUUGUGCCAAAGCUUACGCUUCUAGGCUAGCGCCGGUCGCCCAACGUGUCAUUAGCAAGAGCCAAACUGCUUUUCUUAAAGGCAGGAACAUCCUUGAAGGACCCAUUGCUCUUACGGAGAUUAUACACGAGUUAAAACGUACCCGAGGGCAGGGCGUUAUCCUUAAGAUAGACUUUGAAAAAGCCUACGAUCGUGUAAACUCAGAGUUUACACGGGAGGUCCACCUCAAAAAGGGUUUUGAGGCAGGGUUUGUUCACCGGAUCAUAAACCUGAUCUCGAGUGGCAACACCUCGGUCAUUGUUAACAGCGAAAUGGGGAAGUCUUUCCGUAAUAGGAAAGGGCUUAGAAAGGUCAACCCUAUAUCCCCACUCGUCUUUAACUUUGUGGCGGAUGCUAUGGAGGCCAUGCUGACCAAGGCCCGGGAGGCCGGUCACAUCAAGUUGUUGUGGAACGAAGUAAUUUCAAAAAAAUUCCUACGCACACGCAAGAUCAUGGUGAUGGCAUAG
rnacentral:rRNA from 1 species